CUUGGGCAUGUGAAGCACACUGUGAGACUAUCCAUAGCGCAGAGCACAGUAACGUGUGGCGUUGUCUUUUCUCCUGCAGGGGCAGAUGCUGGGAGAAGGUCUGAGGCUGCUGGUCACGAAUUGCUGCACAAGUACUAUAUCCCAGUGACUGCAGUAGCCUUGGCUGUGGUGCUGUCUGGGCUAGUUGGAUCUUGCAUAGUCAUUUCACGGCUGAGGAAGAGAGACCCAAGGAGCCAGGGAGAUGAAGCAGCACUGGGACAAGCUGAUACUGACUCUGCCUGGAAAAGUGAAGAUCCAACUAGAGAUAAAGGCAAAGCAGAGUCAGGAGCAGGAACAAGAAAAGUUGAGGUUGCUCAAGAAAAUGGGACUUUCAACAACAGCUCCAGCCCAUCACCGUGGCCUUUUGUGGCAGAGCUCACGCAGCUGUACAGGAGCGCAAGCGCAGACCCCUCACCUCUGCCCGCUUGUCCCAGCUGCUCUUUCACCAACGAUACCUCUUCAGUGGACAAUUCGAUUUCUCUCGACUCACCUCAGCCUAACCCCUUCUGGUGUCCCUGUCACCAGUUCCAACAGGGAUACUGUACCUCAGAAGAUGAGUCUUUUUUAGAGUAAAUAAAAAAUACAUUUUGGCCAAAA